rnacentral:rRNA from 1 species
AACGAACGCUGGCGGCAUGCCUAACACAUGCAAGUCGAACGAGACCUUCGGGUUUAGUGGCGCACGGGUGGGUAACGCGUGGGAACCUGCCCUUAGGUUCGGAAUAACUCCCCGAAAGGGGUGCUAAUACAGGAUAAUGUCUUCGGACCAAAGAUUUAUCGCCUUUGGCUGGGGCCGCGUUGGAUUAGCGAGUUGGUAGGGUAAAAGCCUACCAAGGCGACGAUCCAUAGCUGGUCUGAGAGGAUGAUAAGCCACACUGGGACUGAGACACGGCCCAGACUCCUACGGGAGGCAGCAGUGGGGAAUAUUGGACAAUGGGCGAAAGCCUGAUCCAGCAAUGCCGCGUGAGUGAUGAAGGCCUUAGGGAUGUAAAGCUCUUUUACCCGGGAUGAUAAUGACAGUACCGGGAGAAUAAGCUCCGGCUAACUCCGUG